rnacentral:misc_RNA from 1 species
GAAGCUCCCAUGAUCACUGAUGGAUGCCAAUGGAGAAAAUAUGGACAGAAGAUGGCCAAAGGAAACCCAUGUCCUAGAGCCUACUAUAGGUGCACCAUGGCAGUCGGUUGUCCAGUUCGCAAACAGGUUCAACGUUGUGCUGACGAUAGAACGAUCUUGAUAACAACUUAUGAAGGCAGUCAUAAUCACCCUUUGCCUCCAGCUGCCGUGGCAAUGGCAUCCACAACAACAGCAGCUGCAAGCAUGCU